UACGGAGGGGGCGAGCGUUGUUCGGAAUUACUGGGCGUAAAGGGCGCGUAGGCGGUGACGUUAGUCGGGCGUGAAAGCCCCGGGCUCAACCUGGGAUCUGCGUUCUAUACUGCGUUACUUGAGAGCGGAAGAGGGUAGUGGAAUUCCCAGUGUAGAGGUGAAAUUCGUAGAUAUUGGGAAGAACACCAGUGGCGAAGGCGGCUACCUGGUCCGUUUCUGACGCUGAGGCGCGAAAGCGUGGGGAGCAAACAGG
rnacentral:rRNA from 1 species